UACGUAGGGUGCAAGCGUUGUCCGGAAUUAUUGGGCGUAAAGAGCUCGUAGGCGGUCUGUCGCGUCGGCUGUGAAAUCCCGAGGCUCAACCUCGGGUCUGCAGUCGAUACGGGCAAACUGGAGUACUGCAGGGGAGACUGGAAUUCCUGGUGUAGCGGUGAAAUGCGCAGAUAUCAGGAGGAACACCGGUGGCGAAGGCGGGUCUCUGGGCCGAUACUGACGCUGAGGAGCGAAAGCGUGGGGAGCGAACAGG
rnacentral:rRNA from 1 species